AACGAACGCUGGCGGCAGGCCUAAUACAUGCAAGUCGAGCGCGCCCUUCGGGGUGAGCGGCGGACGGGUGAGUAACGCGUGGGAAUAUGCCCUUCUCUAAGGAAUAGCCUCUGGAUACGGAGAGUAAUACCUUAUACGCCCUUUGGGGGAAAGAUUUAUCGGAGAAGGAUUAGCCCGCGUUAGAUUAGGUAGUUGGUGGGGUAAUGGCCUACCAAGCCUACGAUCUAUAGCUGGUUUGAGAGGAUGAUCAGCCACACUGGGACUGAGACACGGCCCAGACUCCUACGGGAGGCAGCAGCAGGGAAUCUUAGACAAUGGGGGCAACCCUGAUCUAGCCAUGCCGCGUGUGUGAUGAAGGCCCUAGGGUCGUAAAGCACUUUCGCCAGAGAUGAUAAUGACAGUAUCUGGUAAAGAAACCCCGGCUAACUCCGUGCCAGCAGCCGCGGUAAUACGGAGGGGGUUAGCGUUGUUCGGAAUUACUGGGCGUAAAGCGCACAUAGGCGGAUUAGUAAGUUAGAGGUGAAAUCCCAGGGCUCAACCCUGGAACUGCCUUUAAUACUGCUAGUCUUGAGUUCGAGAGAGGUAAGUGGAAUUCCGAGUGUAGAGGUGAAAUUCGUA
rnacentral:rRNA from 1 species